AUGGGGUUCCCUGCUCAACUUCUGGGGCUGUUAAUUCUCUGGAUCCCUGCAUCCAGUGGGGAUAUCGUGAUGACACAGACUCCACUCACCCUGCCCAUCAGGCUUGGAGAGCCGGCCACCAUCUCCUGCAAGUCAAGUCAGAGCCUCGUACAUACUGAUGGAAAAACCUAUUUGAACUGGUACCAGCAGAAACCCGGCCAAGCUCCACGGCUCCUGAUCUAUAAGAUCUCUAACCGGUUCACUGGGGUCCCAGAGAGGUUCAGUGGCAGUGGGUCAGUUACAGAUUUCAGUCUUAAAAUCAGUAGGGUGGAGGCUGAGGAUAUUGCAGUUUAUUACUGCAUGCAAAAUUUAUACUAUCCUCCACAGUGGUGCAUCCUUUCACAAAAACCUGUGCUUGCCACCGCCCAGCUGCCCAAAUGUCUGCAACAGACUGUUCUCACCAUCAGCAGCCUGGAGGCUGAGGAUAUUUGAAUUUAUUACUGUCAGUAG